UACGUAGAGUGCGAGCGUUGUCCGGAAUUAUUGGGCGUAAAGAGCUCGUAGGCGGUGUGUCACGUCGGCCGUGAAAACCUGGGGCUUAACUCUGGGCGUGCGGUCGAUACGGGCAUCACUAGAGUUCGGCAGGGGAGACUGGAAUUCCUGGUGUAGCGGUGAAAUGCGCAGAUAUCAGGAGGAACACCGGUGGCGAAGGCGGGUCUCUGGGCCGAUACUGACGCUGAGGAGCGAAAGCGUGGGGAGCGAACAGG
rnacentral:rRNA from 1 species